CCCUGGGUUACUUACUCUUCAAUCAGAAAAUGAGUGUGUUCAAAGGAAAUUGUCCUUUUCACUAUCCCCAAUGGUGAGGCAGCCUCAUUUCAGUACUGUGGAGGAUUUUCUAUGGAGCAACUAUUUCUUCAGAGGGGAGAAGUGGGAAAACAAGAAAACAAAGGAAUCAACAUUUGCUAAGUCCUACUACAUGAUGGGAUCUGCCUGCAAGGAACAUCAGAUGUCAGUUCUCCUCAAAGAAGUUCAAUGUUCCAGGUGAAUGGUCAUCAUCUGAAUGGAAAACUAAAGGAAGAGAGCCAGGCUCUGUCAGAGUGCCCACGGGAAGAAGCUGGGAUGCAGAAAAGCAAAGCAGCAGGCAUCUGGCAAAGAUGGACCCCUGAGGAACUCGAAGCCACAUGGAAAGGGUAGGUGGGGGUGCUUCUGUGCUCCCCUCACCCCUGGAACAAUCUCCUGACUGCUAAAUUGUCAAGGAGUACCUCUGCCCUCACAACCCAGUGCAAUGCUGUUAGUAGUGAUUUGAGGACUUCCCGGGGACAGAGAACCAGGGGCCAGCUCACGCAGGGGCACCUGUACUCCCCUCAGGCCUGAACUGAGAUGGCAA
rnacentral:lncRNA from 10 species